rnacentral:misc_RNA from 1 species
GAUGAAGAACGCAGCGAAAUGCGAUAAGUAGUGUGAAUUGCAGAAUUCAGUGAAUCAUCGAAUCUUUGAACGCACAUUGCGCCCUUUGGUAUUCCUUAGGGCAUGCCUUUUCGAGCGUCAUUUACAAAUUCAAGCUCAGCUUGGUGAUGGGUGUCUGUCCCGCCUUUGCGCGUGGACUCGCCUCAAAUGCAGUUGGCAGCUUAUCCCUCGGCUCUAAACGCAGCAGAUUUGCGUCGAGCGUCGUGUGGACGGGCUCUCCAGUAAGCAAACCCCCCAAAAUUGACCUCGGAUCAGGUAGGGAUACCCGCUGAACUUAAGCAUACAAUAAGCGGAGGA